rnacentral:sRNA from 1 species
CCACAGUACAUACAACCUCUUUUGCAUCAGAAUCUAUCAUACUCUUGUUGUUUUUCCACUCCAUACACUGCAUGGAAUGUUCAUUUCAUCAUACCAAAGAAGAAGAACACUGACAGAGACUUGUGUAUAUAAUCAGAGAACAGAUUUUUGAUUUUUUUUUUCACAAAAAAGAAGAUCAGCUCUCUUUCACAGUCUCUCUCACAGUGUCACUUCUCUUCUCUUUUCAUACACAGUGAAUAAAUAGCUCUUGUUUCAUACAAUUCUGUCAUC